rnacentral:ncRNA from 1 species
UGUCUCCUCCACCCUCUGAAAAGGUGGAUUUGCCCCGAACCGCAAGGCUCGGGGCAUUUUUU